UUUUUUAGUUUUUAGAAUUAAAACAAAAUUUUCAUAACAGAGGUUGCCCUUACAAAAAAUUCUUGGUAGGCUUACCUUUUGCAUAAUGGUUAAACUAAAUUCAUAAUAAUUAUUAUUUCCCGAAAUAAGAAGAUCUAAGUCUUUCAAGUCAUUAGCCUGUUCCCAUUUUACUGUGGCAUUAGUAAAACAUGAGUUUGAUUUAGGGGUGAAACGCCUACAAUUCUUAUGAUAUCUGGAUUCCUGAGAAAUGUAUAUAGUACAUGAAACAGGAAAGGGGUGUUGAGAUCUCAUUCUUAAAGAAUUGUUCCUCGUUUCCUCUUUAUAGUGGGUAAAACCUUAAGUGUAUUCUUAAAUACAGGACAAAUAGGAGCUUAUAAUCUUGCGCAUAUCAGGACCAAGACCUGAACUUAUCGGUCUUUGAAUAAUGUUUAAAUUAGUAAUAUCCUUAAAUUUUAUGAAGGAACUCGGCAAAUAUUAAUCCUCAUCUGUUUACCAAAAACAUAGCCUCCAGAAUUAUAUUUGAGGUGAGCCCUGCCCAAUGAUAAUUUGAAUGGCCGCAGUACCCUGACUGUGCUAAGGUAGCGUAAUCAGUUGGCUUUUAAAUGGAGUCGUGUAUGAAUGGGUUUAUGGGGAAUAUCUGUCUCCAUGAAAAUCGACUUAACUUACUAAAAAGGUGAAAAUUCCUUUGACAGAAAAAAGACGAGAAGACCCUAGGAGUUUUUAAUAUGAAGGAACUCGUUUCUUUUAAUGUUUUUUGCUGGGGCGGCAGGGAGAGCAAUAACUAUAAAUUUAACCCUCCUGAAUAUUUCUACGACGGGACGUUUGUAAAAGGAGCGCAUGAAACUACCCUAGGGAUAACAGCAUAAUUUUUAAAAGUUUGUGACCUCGAUGUUGGACUAGGGACUUUAUGGCUAGCAGUCAGUAGAGAUUGUUCUGUUCGAACACAUUACCCUACAUGAUCUGAGUUCAGACCGGCGUAAGCCAGGUCAGUUUCUAUCUUUUUAUUAGCUACCUACAGUACGAAAGGACCCAUGUUAGCGUAAGGUUGUUUUACAU
rnacentral:rRNA from 1 species